AAUAAGCACAACUAUGAGUUUCCGUGUCUAACUUUGAUUGUCUGUCUUAUUUGAAAUUUUUUAUAAUUAGUAUUUUUAUUGUUAGUAGAUUAUAAAAUACUUUAUGUGUGCCUUAUAUUUUUUUUUAAAAAAAAUAAAUAAGACGGACGAUUAAAAUUGGCCACGGAAACUUAUGGUUACGUUUAUU
rfam:Oryza meridionalis cultivar OR44 (W2112) chromosome 3, whole genome shotgun sequence.